rnacentral:rRNA from 1 species
GAUGAACGCUGGCGGCGUGCCUAAUACAUGCCAGUCGAGCGAACGGACGAGAAGCUUGCUUCUCUGAUGUUAGCGGCGGACGGGUGAGUAACACGUGGAUAACCUACCUAUAAGACUGGGAUAACUUCGGGAAACCGGAGCUAAUACCGGAUGAUAUUUUGAACCGCAUGGUUCAAAAGUGAAAGACGGUAUUGCUGUCACUUAUAGAUGGAUCCGCGCUGCAUUAGCUAGUUGGUAAGGUAACGGCUUACCAAGGCAACGAUGCAUAGCCGACCUGAGAGGGUGAUCGGCCACACUGGAACUGAGACACGGUCCAGACUCCUACGGGAGGCAGCAGUAGGGAAUCUUCCGCAAUGGGCGAAAGCCUGACGGAGCAACGCCGCGUGAGUGAUGAAGGUCUUCGGAUCGUAAAACUCUGUUAUUAGGGAAGAACAUAUGUGUAAGUAACUGUGCACAUCUUGACGGUACCUAAUCAGAAAGCCACGGCUAACUACGUGC